rnacentral:tRNA from 1 species
GGGAGUAUAGUUUAGUUAUAGAAUGGUGCUUUUGUAAAGCUUUGGUGUGGUCGCUGCUCCCU